rnacentral:lncRNA from 12 species
CUUUCACAGAUAUUUUUUCUUUUUGUUGAAGAUCAAAAAGCAGUUACGUAUUUCAACAGCUCCCAGAGCAGCAACGGUUGUGUUACUUUUUCUGUGCCUGCCUUCCUCCUCCCAGCCUCAGGAAUUAAAACGUCAGGCUACACAGUCAUACAUAGACAGAAUUCUUUUCAGCUCUAUUCUGCCUAUUCAACGGGGAGAAUACAAGGGAAUUCCAGGAUCUGCACUGUAAGCACUGCUUGAGCAGUUCAGCUGGCAUGGAAUUGAUACCAACCUUAAGAAACCUCAGCUGAAACAUUAUGUACAUCCCUCGGGGAACCCAACUACCUUCAGAAUCCACUACCAGCUGAG